ACAAGUCAUGCCAAUAGGCUUGGGACACAGGGAGGAAUGAAGGGUUGAGAACAAUAAGUGAAUUGACCAAAGUCUGCCUUCUUAACAGCUAUGUGGUUUCCUCCCACAUGCAAAACAUAUUCACACCCAAUCCCCAAAUCCUCCAAAGUCUCAUCCAGACUCAAAGCCUUAUAAGGCUCAAAGUCCAAGGUCUCAUGAUCUACAUCAGGCCUGGAUGUGGUUCCUCUGGAUUCCAAGACCUAUGAAUUAAAAAGACACAGUUAUCUGCCUCCUCACCCCCACACCCAGCAAACUAUUUUGGAACAGGAAUAACUGCAAUAAGCACUGUCAUUUGAGAAGGAGGAGGAGUGGGAGGAUGUCACUGGCCCAUAGCAAUUCUGAAGCCCCAUUGGGCAAACAUUGUAAGAUCUCCCUACCCUGGGAUUUAGUUAUGUUUCUAGAUCAGGCCCUUGAUUUCUUCUGGGAAUGGUUUCCCAGUUCAUUCUCUACAGGUCUUGGUUCUGCCCUUUGGAAAUUGUUCCUUUCCAACAACUCCCUUGGUUAAUUCUGAAGAGUGCCUUAAAAGCAUUUGAAGAGUAUACACAUGUUAGUGGCUGAUAAGCUUUCUCAGCUUCAUACAUUCCCACAGAAAGUUGGGGAAAUCUCUGCUUCUUUUAAUGCAGGCUGGAGGUACUUUUGCU
rnacentral:lncRNA from 1 species